UUUAAGGGCAGAACUAAAUGAAAUGUUACGGGGUUUUUUUUUGUUACAGUCAUUGGUAACCUGGCUGAGACCAUCAACUCAUUUCGCUCGAUGACCCGCUUUAAUCGCAGGUGGCUUACCUUGAUGUGAACCCAGCGUCUCAGUGGUGCCAUCUCAGCACCAUGACCUCUGAGCCACCCAGCCACUUAAGAUAUAUUUUAGGCCUAAUUCAGAUCGGGGUUUCCUGCCAGGCUGAAGCCAUACAAUGGGGGGGGGGGAGCUAAGUUAAAAUUAUAGGCUUCCAGAUAAAAGUCCGAUAAGGAUUAAGCUUUUGCGCGUGGUUAUUUUAACUCGUUCUAUAUUUGUAUCAAGAAUAACAACGUGGUCAUUCAUCGCGGCAGACGGGUACAGAUCUGCUUAUGGAAAACUGCCACUCUGGGGCCAAUGGGACCGUGAGCCUAACGGCCCAAGCUGUGGAAUAUUGAAUGAUCUCCGGCGCAGUCUACGGCCACCCAAGGACCAAUCAUUUAAAAUACAAUGUAGCUACAUUUACAUUGACAACUUCACUAGCACUCCCGCAAAAGGAGAGGUAAUAAAAAGGGGCUACAUGAAAAGCACGCCGAUCGAAUGUGAAACACUCCGUUUUGUAAUGACCGGAAGCAUGUUCACGAGGUGCACAACGCCAUUAUGCAGGGUUGAUUGCAUUUCAAUCAAUUAACACGUGUUUUUUUCACUGAACUAUAUUAUUUCAUGUUUUUAACCACACUGUUUAUAUUUCUCAGUAAAUCAUGAACCAAAAUACAACGCUGUACGUGAGACCGGUUUGAGAAGGGCAUUGCUAUUGCUAUUAUAUUCGCCAAAUAAAAUGUAGUCUUCUUAGACUGCUGUGGCAAGUGCAGUUAGCGAGCAUCCAUGUAGGUCGGCACGGUACAACAAGGCGAUUUUAUACCGAGUAUGUUUGUUUCACCAAUAUUGAUCUUGACCACAUUGCAGGAAAUACUAAUUUUCAGCUGAGCCAAUCUAAGGGAGGCACCCACGAAUUGCCACUGGCGGGGUGAUGGCCUGGAACUGAACCCAUCUGCCUUAGAUCAUAGCACAAUGGCAAAAUCACUGCCCCGCCACUCCCGACACACACCCAAAGGCAAAUGAACAAAAUAUAGUCAGGGGAUUGUUGUGCUUACGUAAGGCGGGGUAAAAGCCUGCGUACACCCAUAAUUUCUUAUCUAUUUGGUCAUCGUGCUUUAUAAAAUGGGUACAUUAUGAACCUUGUAAAUAUAGACGUUGCAGUUGAAAGAAGCGCAUUGUCCAUUAAAGUUGAAGCGAUAAAAAAACAAAGCACAAUUCAAACAUUUACUGAAAGUGAACAAACAAAAGCAUGAAGAAAAACUUGCCCAAGUGACACAAAUGAAUUCCGCUGGGCUGACCGUCGCAGCCACAGCUGUACAAAUUGUGCGCGCUUGCAAUUCUGCCAGCUUAAAAAUAGGACCAACCAACACACGCGGGUGGCGGUGGGGGAGGAGGGGGUGAGCGGAGCGGCUCGCGCGGCAGCAGAGGAAGCAUCUUGCGGCUCGGCGGAGCCCCGCGAGACGGCGGCUCUUUGACCCCCCCGGGGGCCCGGGUCGCACGAAUCAGCCAGAAAGACGGGUGGCGACGAUGGUGGCGGCAGUCCUUGAACGACGCCCGACACGUGGGCAGGUCGUGAACUUUCUGGGAAAGUGAAGCAAAGGGGGAGGGAGGUGGAGGAGGAUGAGGAGGAGGAGGAGGAGGAGGAGGCGAUGCAGAGUUCAAAACCAAGAGCGGCGAGAUCCUCCGUGGGAUGUGAAAGGACCGCUUCGCUGUCGCCCUGCGGGUGCAUGGAUGCCCUUGGAACAGCUGUCCACCCAGCGGGUACAAAGGCGCCCAGAGGAUUUACAGUGUUUAUUUUCCACGCCGCUAUUGCGGUCCGCGGCAUCUAGGACAAGUUUGUAUUCUCUCUUGCAAACAUUUGGGUGUGGAGGGGGGGGGGAGAUCACGUCUACAAGUUAGCCGGCCACUAAACACGCCGCCCAGGGGAACACUUGGGUUGUUGUUAACGAUAUUAUUGACCCAAUGCAAACUGCGCCACACGGCCCACUGAAUGGGUAAAUAUGCAAAUAAAAAUUUAAGUAAACAAAAGAGUUUGCGUAUUUUUUUGUUUUUGUAUUCGGAGUGAAUGCAGCAGAGGCUGUGUAACAGCCUGACUUGGCAUUGGGGGAUGA